CAGCCUGUAUCUUUCUUUAGGACUGUCCCCUACCUCCUUUACUCUCUAACAGAUUUCUGCUUAUCCUGGUGAAUCCUAUUUAAGGGAGAUGGAAACAAACCUGGAGGUUGAUUACAAACUGCAGAGGCUGAGAAGGGCAGCUUGCUGGCUUUCAGCCAGUACUCUCUCUUGGCUAAGGGAUAUGGGACUUUAUGUGUACAUAGGCAGCAAGGCCAGCCUCAGAAGGAGGGGCCAGGCUUCCUGCAGUUUCACAGCCACCACUCCAACCUGGGUCUCAUGUCUGUGUCCUUUGUUGUAGGAAGGAGGGUGAUUCAGAGUUCAUGAAUAUCAUUGCCAAUGAGAUUGGGUCAGAGGAGACCCUCCUGUUCUUAACUGUGGGCGAUGAGAAAGGUGGUGGACUCUUCUUACUGGCAGGGCCACCUGCGUCUGUGGAGACCCUGGGGCCCAGGGUGGCUGAGGUCCUGGAAGGCAAAGGAGCAGGGAAGAAAGGCCGUUUUCAGGGCAAGGCCACCAAGAUGAGCCGGCGGAUGGAGGCGCAGGCGCUUCUCCAGGACUACAUCAGCACGCAGAGUGCUAAGGAGUGAGGGCUUAGGGCACUCACCUCCUGUUUCCACAGGAAUCUUUUGGUCAAUAAAAUAGAUUGACUCAGAA
rnacentral:lncRNA from 1 species